rnacentral:rRNA from 1 species
AUGGCGCCGCAGACGCCUAUCAUACCCCCUGCCGCCUUGGACGGCGACGGCCUUCCUUCCUGGAAACCCAACCCAUUCUCCGCCGACCCUACCUUCGACAUGGGCUUCCUCAAGGCAGCCUUCGACGGCGACCUCCGCCUCGUCAAGAGAGGCGGCGAGGGUGCUGGGAGGGGGGCGGAAGGCCGUCGCCUCGCCGAGAAGCUGGGGGCAGUGAGGGACGGCAUAUGCAUAGGCUUACUGCACAUGGCGGCCCUAGGCGGGAGCCUGCCCGUGUGCCGCUACCUGGUCGAGGACAUCCGGCUGGAUGUCGAUGAUGUAGGCCCGAUGGGCGAAACACCUUUGACCUGUGCGAUUAGCCGUCAGAAUGCGUACUUGGUGUGUUACUUUCUCGACCAUGGUGCUGAUACAGAGAAGCUCAACAGCGAGGGCUAUACGCCUCUCCAUUUUGCCACCAAUCAAGGAUACGUUGACAUAGUAGAGCUCUUACUCUCAAAAGGAGCUAACCCUGAUGGACUAAGUCAUGGUGGGACAGCACUGCAUGUUGCUGCUAAUAAUGGGCAUGAUGAUAUUAUUGUGAAGGUUUUGUUGGAUCACCAUGCAGAUCAUAAGAUAGCUUUGAGUGGUACUGAUUCUACAGCUCUUGUUAUUGCUACUGCCGCGUGCUCACUAAAAUGUGUGAAGCUCCUGCUUGAGGCUGGUGCUGAUGUGGAUGGUAUUGGUAAAGAUACACCCUUAAUAAUUGCUGCCCUUGCUGGCUCGACUGACAUCCUUAAGUGCUUAGUUCUGGCUGGUGCAGAUGCUAAUGAUAUUGACAGUUAUGGGCACACUCCUAUAGAAAUUGCUGCACGUUCUGGUAUGCGUGAACAUGUCAAAAUUCUAUUUCCCGUCACUUCUCGUAUUCCUAAAGUACGUGACUGGAGUGUUGAUGGAAUCAUUGGUAAUGUAAAAUCAGUGCCCUCAUCAAAGAAAACUAUGCUUGCUAGUGCAAAAUCUAAAGCACAUGAGGCAUUCAAGAAUGGGAAACAUCUUAUUGCAGCAAGAAUUUAUGGAGAGGUACAUUCUUGCAUCUUGCUUGUUCUAGUUUAUGGACUCAUUGACUGCUUAGGACAAGUUGAAAGACUAUAG